UAUGCAUCAUUUGUUAUUUUGAGUGUUACAGAAGCCUGUGAUGUCUUCUCCCUCAUCCCCAGGAUCCCGGCACAGCUUCACUUCUUCCAUCUUUAUGUUCACCUCUAAAUUACUUACAACUUUCUCUUCAUCAUUAACAAAGAAGUAUUGUUUUGUUCUUUAGUGUUCUAAUUGCCACCACCAAAAGCUAAAAGCUUAUCAUUCACUUCACACCUGCAUUCCUGGAAAUGUUUCCUGUGGACUUUCAAAGCUUGAGCUGCCUCCAGAUUCUCUCUCCACCCUCCAACUGUCACCUAUAUAUUGCCUGUCACUUCUGGAAUAAUCCAUAUUAAAUGCUGCUUUCAUUAUAUUGUAACUCUGCUUAAAAAUCGAUUAUGGUGCCCUAUUUCAGACAACAUCAAACAUAAAACUAUUCUAUCUAGAUGUCAAAGCCAUACAUAAGCUGUUUCCAUAAUACUCAUCUGAUUUAUUUAUUUAUUUAUUUUUACUGGAACAUACCAAGAAAUACUUCAGGGUUACCUUCUCACUGCUGUAUCAUUGAAAACUGCAUUCUUUCAUUCAUGAGCUUGCCUUCAUACAAAGUGCCCUCCACUUUUACCCUCGUCUCUCUAAUAAAGUUCUACAUAAUCUUC
rnacentral:lncRNA from 1 species